rnacentral:lncRNA from 1 species
GAAAAAUUACCAAAAUGACCUUUCGGAUCAUUACAUCAUUCACUACUAAAAACCAUGUUCGUCCUCGAACAUAAAGUAAAAGAAAGUACCUGAAGCCUCGAAAAGCUGGGGAUAUCGGACCCGCAUAUCAUCCUCGGACUCCCAAGUCGCCUCCCUAUCUGAUCGAUGCCUCCACUGAACCUUCACUGAAACGAUGUCCUUGGUCCG